GGCUCAGAUUGAACGCUGGCGGCAGGCCUAACACAUGCAAGUCGAACGGUAACAGGAAGCAGCUUGCUGCUUUGCUGACGAGUGGCGGACGGGUGAGUAAUGUCUGGGAAACUGCCUGAUGGAGGGGGAUAACUACUGGAAACGGUGGCUAAUACCGCAUAACGUCGCAAGACCAAAGAGGGGGACCUUCGGGCCUCUUGCCAUCAGAUGUGCCCAGAUGGGAUUAGCUUGUUGGUGAGGUAACGGCUCACCAAGGCGACGAUCCCUAGCUGGUCUGAGAGGAUGACCAGCCACACUGGAACUGAGACACGGUCCUGACUCCUACGGGAGGCAGCAGUGGGGAAUAUUGCACAAUGGGCGCAAGCCUGAUGCAGCCAUGCCGCGUGUAUGAAGAAGGCCUUCGGGUUGUAAAGUACUUUCAGCGGGGAGGAAGGUGUUGCGGUUAAUAACCGCAGCAAUUGACGUUACCCGCAGAAGAAGCACCGGCUAACUCCGUGCCAGCAGCCGCGGUAAUACGGAGGGUGCAAGCGUUAAUCGGAAUUACUGGGCGUAAAGCGCACGCAGGCGGUCUGUCAAGUCGGAUGUGAAAUCCCCGGGCUCAACCUGGGAACUGCAUUCGAAACUGGCAGGCUUGAGUCUUGUAGAGGGGGGUAGAAUUCCAGGUGUAGCGGUGAAAUGCGUAGAGAUCUGGAGGAAUACCGGUGGCGAAGGCGGCCCCCUGGACAAAGACUGACGCUCAGGUGCGAAAGCGUGGGGAGCCAACAGGAUUAGAUACCCUGGUAGUCCACGCCGUAAACGAUGUCUACUUGGAGGUUGUGCCCUUGAGGCGUGGCUUCCGGAGCUAACGCGUUAAGUAGACCGCCUGGGGAGUACGGCCGCAAGGUUAAAACUCAAAUGGAUUGACGGGGGCCCGCACAAGCGGUGGAGCAUGUGGUUUAAUUCGAUGCAACGCGAAGAACCUUACCUGGUCUUGACAUCCACAGAAGAAUCCAGAGAUGGAUUUGUGCCUUCGGGAACUGUGAGACAGGUGCUGCAUGGCUGUCGUCAGCUCGUGUUGUGAAAUGUUGGGUUAAGUCCCGCAACGAGCGCAACCCUUAUCCUUUGUUGCCAGCGAUUAGGUCGGGAACUCAAAGGAGACUGCCAGUGAUAAACUGGAGGAAGGUGGGGAUGACGUCAAGUCAUCAUGGCCCUUACGACCAGGGCUACACACGUGCUACAAUGGCGCAUACAAAGAGAAGCGACCUCGCGAGAGCAAGCGGACCUCAUAAAGUGCGUCGUAGUCCGGAUUGGAGUCUGCAACUCGACUCCAUGAAGUCGGAAUCGCUAGUAAUCGUGGAUCAGAAUGCCACGGUGAAUACGUUCCCGGGCCUUGUACACACCGCCCGUCACACCAUGGGAGUGGGUUGCAAAAGAAGUAGGUAGCUUAACCUUCGGGAGGGCGCUUACCACUUUGUGAUUCAUGACUGGGGUGAAGUCGUAACAAGGU
rnacentral:rRNA from 1 species